GAUGAACGCUAGCGGCAGGCUUAAUACGUGCAAGUCGAGGGGUAGCAAGAUUGUAGCAAUACAAUUGUUGACGACCGGCAAACGGGUGCGGAACACGUACACAACCUUCCUACAAGUGGGGAAUAGCCCAGAGAAAUUUGGAUUAAUACCCCAUAACAUAGCGAUGUGGCAUCACAUUGCUAUUAUAGCUUCGGCGCUUGUUGAUGGGUGUGCGGCUGAUUAGAUAGUUGGCGGGGUAACGGCCCACCAAGUCUACGAUCAGUAGCUGAUGUGAGAGCAGGAUCAGCCACCCGAGCACUGAGACACGGGCCCGACUCCUACGGGAGGCAGCAGUAAGGAAUAUUGGUCAAUGGACGCAAGUCUGAACCGGCCAUGCCGCGUGAAGGAUGAAGGUCCUCUGGAUUGUAAACUUCUUUUAUCUGGGGCGAAACCCUACUAUUCUUAGUAGUUUGACGGUACCAGAUGAAUAAGCACCGGCUAACUCCGUGCCAGCCGCCGCAGUAAUAC
rnacentral:rRNA from 1 species